rnacentral:rRNA from 1 species
GUGGGGAAUAUUGCACAAUGGGCGAAAGCCUGAUGCAGCGACGCCGCGUGAGGGAUGACGGCCUUCGGGUUGUAAACCUCUUUCAGCAGGGAAGAAGCGAAAGUGACGGUACCUGCAGAAGAAGCACCGGCUAACUACGUGCCAGCAGCCGCGGUAAUACGUAGGGUGCGAGCGUUGUCCGGAAUUAUUGGGCGUAAAGAGCUUGUAGGCGGUUUGUCGCGUCUGCUGUGAAAUUUCGGGGCUCAACCCCGAACUUGCAGUGGGUACGGGCAGACUAGAGUGUGGUAGGGGAGACUGGAAUUCCUGGUGUAGCGGUGAAAUGCGCAGAUAUCAGGAGGAACACCGAUGGCGAAGGCAGGUCUCUGGGCCACUACUGACGCUGAGAAGCGAAAGCAUGGGGAGCGAAC